rnacentral:rRNA from 1 species
UACGUAGGGGGCUAGCGUUGUCCGGAAUCAUUGGGCGUAAAGCGCGCGUAGGCGGCCCGGUAAGUCCGCUGUGAAAGUCAAAGGCUCAACCUUUGAAUGUCAGCGGAUACUGCCGGGCUAGAGUCCGGAAGAGGCGAGUGGAACUCCUGGUGUAGCGGUGAAAUGCGUAGAUAUCGGGAGGAACACCGGUGGCGAAGGCGGCCCCCUGGUUGGAUACUGACGCUGAGACGCGAAAGCGUGGGGAGCAAACAGG